rnacentral:lncRNA from 1 species
GGAGAUCAACAUAAUUGAAAUGUUGGUAGAAACAAAGAUAGCAAAAAUCUCAUAAGGUUCCUUGCCGAUGGGUGCAAUUUAAUUCGUUCUUAGGGUGGUCUCCACCUACAAAUCCAUCAAAUAGAUGAAUUCUCCAAUCAAAGGUUCUCAGGAUCUCCAACCUCUUGUUAAAAAAAAAAAAGGGUGGGGGGAAAAUAACUUCUCAAUACAGAUUUACAACUUUCUUAAAGAAUAAAAAUAAAUAAAUAUAAUUUAAGUAGUUCUCAACCAUUUAGAUGAG